rnacentral:lncRNA from 1 species
CAGGUUCCUGGUCCCAGUCUGCUCUGACUCAACCUCUAUCAGCCUCUGGAUCUCUAGGACAGUCAGUCACCAUCUCCUGCACUAGAACCAGCAAUGACAUUGAGAUUUAUAAUAAUGUCUCCUGGUAUCGAUAUCUCCCAGGAGCAUCUCCCAAAAUCCUGAUUUAUGGAGCCACUAAUCAUCCCUCCAGUGUACCCAAUCGCUUCUCUGGCUCCCAGUCUAGCAAUUCAGCCUCUCUGACUAUUUCUAGCCUUCAGGCUGAGGAUGAGGCUGAUUAUUAUUGCUGCUCAUAUACAAGCAGCA